GAUUUAUUAACUAUCCUAAGUAUAUAUUUUGAAAAUAUAAAAAAGAGUAAUUUACUCUAUAAAUCU
rnacentral:tRNA from 1 species